GCCUUUUUAAUAUAAAAAAAUAUAGCUGGCCUCCAACCAGCCAAACCUGGUAUAACCCAAGAAAAGGCA
rnacentral:tRNA from 1 species